AAGGGUUUCCUGCCCUGGGCCUCAGGGGCUGCCGGAGAGGGUGGGAUGCAGAGAGCUCCCUGCCUUCCCCUGUCCUUCCUCCACUUCCGAGCCCAGGUCAAGUGCAGCUGCCUCUUCCUGGAAGCCUUCCUGAUCUUCUCCCCUCAUUGGAGAGGAAUUUUCUUCCUUUGAGACCCGCAGCACUCCGUACAGGACGUGGGUUCCCCACAUCCAACAGAGGACAAGGGACAAGCCCCAACCACCUCAGAAGUGACUAUACAAUUAACGUAUAAAACAACCUGUGUCCAUCGAUGGAUGAACAGAUAAACACACAGUCCCUCAUGGACAAGAAUGUCCCUCAGUCUCGACCAGGAGCACGGCGCCCACACACGCUGCCCCGGGGACGGACCCCGAGCUCAUGACGCUCAGGGAGGGAACCAGACACAGAGGGCCCCACGG